GACGAACGCUGGCGGCGUGCUUAACACAUGCAAGUCGAGCGCUGAAGCUUCCUUCGGGGGUGGAUGAGCGGCGAACGGGUGAGUAACACGUGGGUGACCUGCCCUCAGCUCUGGGAUAAGCCUGGGAAACUGGGUCUAAUACCGGAUAGGACCUUCUGUUGCAUGACAGUGGGUGGAAAGUUUUUUCGGCUGGGGAUGGGCCCGCGGCCUAUCAGCUUGUUGGUGGGGUGAUGGCUUACCAAGGCGACGACGGUAGCCGGCCUGAGAGGG
rnacentral:rRNA from 1 species